AAGCACUGCCUUUGAACCUGAUAUGUCUUGUUUGUAGCUUCUCAGGCCAAGCAACAGUGCUAGACCAUAUUUGGACUUGUUAUAACUGGGGCUCUUCAGGUUCAAACUGAAUUGUUCCUUUAAAAACAAGGUACAUUG
ensembl:snoRNA SNORA50A small nucleolar RNA, H/ACA box 50A